rnacentral:rRNA from 1 species
GAUGAACGCUAGCGGCAGGCCUAACACAUGCAAGUCGAGGGGUAACAGAGAAGCUUGCUUCUGCUGACGACCGGCGCACGGGUGCGUAACGCGUAUGCAACCUACCUCAUACAGGAGAAUAGCCCUUGGAAACGAGGAUUAAUACUCCAUGGUAUCAUUCUUUCGCAUGUUAGAAUGAUUAAAGAAUUUCGGUAUGAGAUGGGCAUGCGUCCCAUUAGCUAGUUGGUGAGGUAACGGCUCACCAAGGCAACGAUGGGUAGGGGGCCGUGAGAGGGUGGUCCCCCACCACUGGUACUGAGACACGGACCAGACUCCUACGGGAGGCAGCAGUGAGGAAUAUUGGUCAAUGGAGGAAACUCUGAACCAGCCAUGCCGCGUGAAGGAUGACGGCCCUAUGGGUUGUAAACUUCUUUUAUAUGGGAAGAAACUUAUCUACGUGUAGAUAACUGACGGUACCAUACGAAUAAGGAUCGGCUAACUCCGUG